UUUUAGCCCCGAUCGCAGCAUUUGUUUGAGCUCAUUUUAUUUUGAAAAAAUAAAAUAGCGAGUGCGGAGAGCGGGAAAUAGC
rnacentral:misc_RNA from 1 species